rnacentral:tRNA from 1 species
GUCCCUUUCGUCUAGUGGCCUAGGACGUUGCCUUCUCAAGGCAAAAACACGAGUUCAAACCUCGUAAGGGACACCA